GGGCGUCGAGCCUGGCGGUAGAAUCUUCCCAGUAGGCGGCGCGGGAGGGAAAAGAGGUUUGAGGGGCUAGGCCGGGCGGAUCCCGUCCUCCCCCGAUGUGAGCAGUUUUCCGAACCCCCGUCAGGCGAAGGCUGCCCAGAGAGGUGGAGCCGGUAGCCGGGCCGGGAACAUGAGGCAGUCUCUCCUAUUCCUGACCAGCGUGGUUCCUUUCGUGCUGGCGGCGCGACCUCCGGAAGACCCGGGCUUCUGCCCCCACCAGAGACUCGAGAAGCUUGAUUCUUUGCUCUCAGACUACGAUAUUCUCUCUUUAUCUAAUAUCCAGCAGCAUUCGGUAAGAAAAAGAGAUCUACAGACUUCAACACAUGUAGAAACACUACUAACUUUUUCAGCUUUGAAAAGGCAUUUUAAAUUAUACCUGACAUCAAGUACUGAACGUUUUUCACAAAAUUUCAAGGUCGUGGUGGUGGAUGGUAAAAAUGAAAGCGAGUACACUGUGAAAUGGCAGGACUUCUUCACUGGACAUGUGGUUGGUGAGCCUGACUCUAGGGUUCUAGCCCACAUAAGAGAUGAUGAUGUUAUAAUCAGAAUCAACACAGAUGGAGCCGAAUAUAACAUAGAGCCACUUUGGAGAUUUGUUAAUGAUACCAAAGACAAAAGAAUGUUAGUUUAUAAAUCUGAAGAUAUCAAGAAUGUUUCACGUUUGCAGUCUCCAAAAGUGUGUGGUUAUUUAAAAGUGGAUAAUGAAGAGUUGCUCCCAAAAGGGUUAGUAGACAGAGAACCACCUGAAGGUAAGGCUUAAAGAGUGUAUUUCAAAUAAGAAACAAACAUAUUACAAUUGACUUCAGUAGGGGUGGUGGUUAUUUGAUAAAAAAUAACAUGAUUGUCAAGUAACUAUAGUAUUUGGCAUGAAAAUAAGAGUUUUGUUCCAGAAAUUUUCAUCUUGUUUAUAAUGUAAGAGUUGAAAACUCUGGAAAGUAAUGGGAACAGAGAUUAGACUUUAAAAAAGAUUAGGGAAAAGGGAAAUGGAGUGAUCUGAGGGAAAAUAUUCUUGCAGAUAUUUAGAAA
rnacentral:sRNA from 1 species